rnacentral:lncRNA from 1 species
UUUUUUUUUUUGUGUACAAACUUCAGUUUGAAUGGGGCUCAUCAUGAUUUUUAACCACCCUACCUUCAACAUACAUAAAGAGAGAGAAGUGACCUGCUGUUCUCCAAAAUGGUCAAGGAGGCCAACAAUGUCGCCUACAAUGUGCAGAAGCGAGUAAGAACUAUGGUUGAUGGGAGCGUCGGAGUCGCCACAACCUCUGAGGUCAGGAGCGACGACGUGGUAACCACGGUCGGCCAAGAAGGUGAUUUGGUGACGCCAUGAAUACCAGAAAUCUGGGAAGCCAUGGAGGAGAAGAACCAGAGGGCCACUAAUUCCUUUCUCCACUACAUGUAACCAUAUCCCGUUUGUUUUUAUUCGCUGGUGAUUCACGUCGUCUUCUAUUCUCGCUUCCAUCUUGAUCGUCUGCUGAAUUUGGAUGCUGCAACUGCAAAGGUCGUGGCUUAAUUUUAUGAACAAAACAGAAAGGUCGCAGGGGAGGAAGCAAAGUCAAAAGGUUUUUGGUGAUGGGAAUAUCAACAAGAUGGAAGGAAGGAACACCUUUGACUACUGAAUAAGAUAAUCCGACCAAGGCGUCACAAUCCUGCCACAUGUCUUGUCUUCUUCAAGAUUCUUUGAAUGGAUAAGUUGAAAGAGUGUAAAAUAUUCCUAUAUAAUAAUCAAAUUGACCGACUGCAGAGUUUUUUAUUAAUUCUGUAAAGGGGGUGAUCAGGCUGAGGAACCUCGGUGGUUCGAUCACCACCAAACUAACUGCUUUAUCAACUAUCAUUAACAUUAAUCUUAUAAUAAUUAAAACCUAUUAAUUAGGAUGAUGGGGAUAUUUUUCUAUGGAGAUAUGACAAGUGGAAAAAAGAGACGGAAUAAUUUUGAAAUAGGCUUUCAAUUAUGAAAAUGUUGCAUUAAUCUGACCUGUUAGAUGAAAUUUACUAAAUUAAAUAGUUAAAAGUGAAGCAUAGUGUUUAUGGGUUUCUCUUUUUUUAGUGGGCAACUUCACUAGUUUAUUGUUGAACAACCUAUUUGGGGAGACGAUGAUAAGUACCUAGGAAAGUCAGGACCUUCGAAAUUAUGGUGCGACUCUUUCCACAAUGUAUGCCCCGAUCAGUUAUUCGGGAGAGAACCAACUCAACAUUAUCCUUGAUAUGUACCUACCAAAUAUCCUUUCGGAAACACCAAAUACAAGCAUCACAAACAAUAAGAGCUUCAAUACAUAGGGAUCAAGGAGGACUGAGUAUGUUCACCCCACCGCUUGUAAGAUCAUGAAAACCGCUAAUGGACCAUCUUAAACGGAACAAGCCCGUACAGAAAAAUCUGAGGCGACAAAAAAUUUAUAGGUUCAAAAUUCGAACCCAAAACCUUCAGUUUAGCAAUCACAUAACACUACUAACUGAAAUGAUAAGUUUCUUAAACAAAAAACUCAAGCCAUAAAAGAUUCUUAACAUAUAGAACUCAAAGAUUGUGGAUAUUGAUAAAAUGGAAUCUGAAACCGACGUCAUGACAGGUUUUUAUCGACGAGGCGACGACAAGCUCAACGGUCAGUCACGUGCCUAAAGCCGGCGCCGGUGUCGGGAAUAAUGUGAACGAAAUAAGUGCAAUGAAGACUGCUUCAAAGUUGAUGGAAUUUGGAAACUCAAAACUCAGGGACAGUGACGGUAAUAAUGUGAACGAAAUAAGUGCAAUGAAGACUUCAGAUUCGGACCUAAACUGCAACACCUUAGAAAGAGUGAGCUUACUUGGAUACACAGACUUGGUUUAUGAAGGAUGUGUUGUGCCACCAACCAUCAAAACAAUAAUGGCAAAGCAAACAUGAUGAUAGUAUCUUGCCAAUAAUUUUACUAAAAAAAGAGCAACAUCGUCCAUCUUCCUUUACACAAGCAGGCAUGUUUUGCCAUUUACACAGCAGGAGAUGCAUUCACCAUUCAAACUCAACGCUUUUGGUUUCAGAAACUCUUCUUCACCUUUCUCCUUCCUUCAGCAAAAGGUUUCCGCCAUCCAACAACAAUUAUUUGAAGCUAUGUUAAUGGACGGUCAUUGCGUUUCAUUUGGUUUUUAC